UUCUGCAAAUUUCGCCGGAUUCUGGAAAUUUUCCGGCCACCUCGACUGUUUUAGGUGAUUGACGGUCUUCCUUGGGUGAGCGGUUUUGGUGUGUAUUGUGUUGAAUUGAAGACGCAGCGGGAAUAUCGAGCGGGUAAUCCUACAGGUCAGGAGAAUCAGGACGGUGAUCGUGCGGGUUAGAGAAUUUGUUUUAGUUUACAGCAAUUGUAAUUGUGAGGUGAGUUAUGCUCAUUUGAGCCUUACAAUAUAAUUUGGUGAGAGUGUGCUGUAAUAAACAAAUUUGAGAUUUGGUUUAUGUAAUAUCGAGCGAUGUGAGGUGUGGUUGUUUUGAGAAAAAAUUCAGGUUGUAUUUAUGUGAGUUGUAUUAAUUCAUGUUUCGGAUUUGAAUUUGUUAUU